GGCGGAGCUAUCUGGCUGAAUGAUUUUUUUACAGUACCGACGGGUCCUAAAACCCUGCUCUGUGGAUGCUCCUGGAGACUGGCAGAGAACCAGCCAUUUGCGCCCAAGGGUGCUCAAUUCAGCGUGACUGUUUUGUGGAAGGAAUCCUGCCACAACACACCACUGAGGUCUCCACCCGCGGCUCCGUGUGACGAAGUCUUAAGAAACAACUCUUCUCUGUCCCUCCUCCUUGGCCCGGCGUCUCCACCUGGCAGCACCGACCUGGCUGCACAGCACAUGGUGGUCACUACCACCACCCCGGAGGUGCACACACUCACCACUCACCUCUCCUCCCCUGUCAUGUCUGCCUAUUAACAACAACCAUAACAAUGAGCUCCCACAGUCGAUCAGGUGGCUUGACCAGCAACGAGCAGCCUCUGGAACUUCUUAAACCAACUGCACUCAACCAUUUUG